rnacentral:tRNA from 1 species
GGAUUGUAGCUCAGUGGUAGAGCGCCUGCCUUGCAUGUGUGAGGCAUUGGGUUUGAUUCUCAACACCA